GAGCGGUAAGGCCUUUCGGGGUACACGAGCGGCGAACGGGUGAGUAACACGUGGGUGAUCUGCCCUGCACUUCGGGAUAAGCCUGGGAAACUGGGUCUAAUACCGGAUAUGACCUCMKRUYGCAUGRYKKGUGGUGGAAAGAUUUAUCGGUGCAGGAUGGGCCCGCGGCCUAUCAGCUUGUUGGUGGGGUAAUGGCCUACCAAGGCGACGACGGGUAGCCGACCUGAGAGGGUGACCGGCCACACUGGGACUGAGACACGGCCCAGACUCCUACGGGAGGCAGCAGUGGGGAAUAUUGCACAAUGGGCGAAAGCCUGAUGCAGCGACGCCGCGUGAGGGAUGACGGCCUUCGGGUUGUAAACCUCUUUCAGCAGGGACGAAGCGCAAGUGACGGUACCUGCAGAAGAAGCACCGGCUAACUACGUGCCAGCAGCCGCGGUAAUACGUAGGGUGCAAGCGUUGUCCGGAAUUACUGGGCGUAAAGAGUUCGUAGGCGGUUUGUCGCGUCGUUUGUGAAAACCAGCAGCUCAACUGCUGGCUUGCAGGCGAUACGGGCAGACUUGAGUACUGCAGGGGAGACUGGAAUUCCUGGUGUAGCGGUGAAAUGCGCAGAUAUCAGGAGGAA
rnacentral:rRNA from 1 species